UACGGGGGGGGGCAAGCGUUGUUCGGAAUUACUGGGCGUAAAGGGCUGGUAGGCGGCCAACUAAGUCGGAUGUGAAAUCCCCAGGCUUAACCUGGGAACUGCAUCCGAUACUGGUCGGCUUGAAUCCGGGAGAGGGAUGCAGAAUUCCAGGUGUAGCGGUGAAAUGCGUAGAGAUCAGGAAGAACACCCAUGGCGAAGGCAGCUCUCUGGGCCUGUACUGACGCUGAGACGCGAAAGCGUGGGGAGCGAACGGG
rnacentral:rRNA from 1 species